UCUCUAUCUGCUGCAGGCGUUGACGCUUGAGGGAAGUUGGCCUUUGUACGAGAGGAUCAGGCUGAACGAACCUCUGGUCUACCGGCUUUGGCACCAGCUGAAGCGCCGGGUAGCUAUGUUCGGUGUUUGUCAGUGCUUCGCACUGACACGCGGAUAAACGCAGAUUGGCGAUUGCUUCGCAAUCGGACGCGGAUAGACGCGGAUAAUUUUUCCGCGUAAAUCCGCGAUAGAGCGAAGCGACCUAAUCCGCGUAAAUCAGCGUGCCAAUGCGAAGCAUUGGCUGUGGAUAAGCGCUGAAAGCAUCUAAGCGCGAAGCCCCUCCCAAGAUUAGGCGUCGUCUCAUCUUGUCUACGACAAGAUCGCGGAUUAACGCAGAUAGAUACGCAGAUUAACGCAGACAAUCAAACGCAGAUUAAUACAGAUUAUACCGCAGAUAAACGCAGAUAAUAUCAGCGUGAAUCUGCGUUUGAAUCAGCGUGAAUCAGCGUUCUCGCCGUAGGCGAGAUGAGUAAGACUCGUGGAAGACUACCACGUUGAUAGGCUUCAGGUGUAAGCACCGUAAGGUGUGU
rnacentral:rRNA from 1 species